UCAACAGUGGCUGUCAAGGGAUGAGAUCUGGAUGGUAAGCUGAUGGAACGAGAAUGAGCACUAACUUUUGUGGUUGCAAUUGAGGCUGCCAUUUUUAUUUGCAGGAGGAAUUAGAUGCCAAUGAAAAUCCUGAACUCAAGGUUUGUUUGAUUGAACUCUCACCUUGGCACCUUUUUAUAAACUAUGAGGAGACAAAAGGAAUCAACCUAAUUUCCUUCAUGUGCUGAACAGAGAAACAGGCCAAGUAUCAGAAAAUGCAGAUCUCAAUUGUAGCAGUGUCUGUGGGAGGAGGAACAUUUGCUUGGCACAAAAUAAUAUAAUAUGCAAGAAACCAGGCUGGCGUUCAUCUGCAAAUUUUGGUAAGUUUUCUAAUAUGAAAACAAGUUAAGACCAGGGGUAUAAUUUUGCAUCUCAUGUGUUAUAUAUUAAAGUUGUCUUGAAAUUCAUAUACAUUGCAUUAUUUUUUGCAUCUUGUUGUUAGACAUGUUGUAUAUUAUUGUUAAGUAAAACAGCGCAUGAAUGGCUUGGCAUUUUUUUUAUGCAUAGAAUUAGUGAGGGCCUUUAUUGCUCCAUUCGGUCUCUAGCGAUGCAGAGCUGAACACUUGAGAUCUGUCAUUAUGUGUACUGGGUAGACAGAAGGAAUCUGAACAGCCUGCAGUCAGUUUGCAAGAACCAUUAAGGUGUGACUAGGUGUCCUGGUAACUAGGGGCUGAGGGCAAAACAGGCUAGAAUAGGGAUUAGUGACUCGGGUUGACCGAGCAAUGCAGUUUGUAAAAUUUUGUGUGUGAUUACUAUAUUAUAGUUUGAUUAUAUAUCUGGAUGAUCUGAAUUUUAAAGCUACUUGCACUCAAAUCGCAAUUAAUCUUCUGUGUAUGUUUAUAUUAAUAUGAAUUGCCACCCGGAUCCGGUCUACUUCUAGUUCACAUUAGAUAGAUAAUUACAGUAUUGAUUGCCAGAAAAGAAUUGGGGACGGGUAUAACUCCUUUUUUUGACCCUGCACUGCGUUCUUAUCUGCGGUUUUGGGAUAGUGUGAUGGGUAUGAGAAGGAUCCUGCUGCAGAAAUAUAUAUAUUUUGCAAAUUGUGUUGUUGAUGAAAUAUACGCGAAACUGAAUAUUGACUUUAAACAGUUGUUUUCGCAAUCUUUCUCGUUGAUAAUAUACUAGCUUCAUAUACAGUCUGUCCUCAUGUAUGUACAAAAACUGAUCCCUCACAAAAAUUCGGGGAUGCAGUAACAGUCUAUCUAAUAUACAGUUCUGUUGGAAAAGAACUAGUGGUUGAGCACAUUGAGAAUUAAUACUCGUGUCUUGAUCAAUGAUCGGACUAGACAGUCUAAUUGUUCUUCACAUUCUUGCAUAUUCAUGUCCAAUGCCGUCAGACAUUUCUGAACGUCUUGUGUUUCUGUGAUAUCACUUUUUUUGCUUGAUUUCUUGCUGAUAGCUUCUAAAGCCAUAUCCAUGUUGUGAACUUGGUUGAUAAUUUCUUCUGUGUCCUCUUCACAAUGUACACGCUUGGACUGUGUUGACUUGAAAACCUUUGACCAUGUGCUUUUUGUCGAUGCUUCCUUUGCAGGACAGAUGGAUGAGAAGAUAGACUCGAAAACUGAGAUGCUGACUUCUUCGACUUCCCUUAGAAGGCUCACGAUAGCAGGAGUCUCGAUGCUUUUGUUAAUUUUGGACUUCUUAGAACCAGCAAAGCACUUGGAGAGCAUUCUGUUUGCCUUUUUCUUACAUACCAGGUAGCUUGCGAUUCUGCUUGAUACAUCAGUUUGUCUUCUACGUAGAGAGGAUUCUAGAUCUUGAACUGAAUCUCUCAUAUGCGAGAGAGCAUCUUUUGAGGUGCUGCACAGAUCCAAUAACCUAAUGGACCCGCAAAGAAUAUCUUCUCCGCAGCUCAAACGAUCUUGCUGUGCGGCUUGCGAUUGGAUCAAAUCUUCUACACACUCAUAUAAGUCUUGAAGAGCGGAUAAUUUGUCGCAUUUGGAUACUGUCGAUGAGGAUGUCCCUUCCGGGGUCCUUAAUCUGCACAAGUGCUCCUCAACAGUGGCUGUCAAGAGAUGAGAUCUGGAUGGUAAGCUGAUGGAACGAGAAUGAGCACUAACUUUUGUGGUUGCAAUUGAGGCUGCCAUUUUUAUUUGCAGGAGGAAUUAGAUGCCAAUGAAAAUCCUGAACUCAAGGUUUGUUUGAUUGAACUCUCACCUUGGCACCUUUUUAUAAACUAUGAGGAGACAAAAGGAAUCAACUUAAUUUCCUUCAUGUGCCGAACAGAGAAACAGGCCAAGUAUCAGAAAAUGCAGAUCUCAAUUGUAGCAGUGUCUGUGGGAGGAGGAACAUUUGCUUGGCACAAAAUAAUAUAAUAUGCAAGAAACCAGGCUGGCGUUCAUCUGCAAAUUUUGGUAAGUUUUCUAAUAUGAAAACAAGUUAAGACCAGGGGUAUAAUUUUGCAUCUCAUGUGUCAUAUAUUAAAGUUGUCUUGAAAUUCAUAUACAUUGCAUUAUUUUUUGCAUCUUGUUGUUAGACAUGUUGUAUAUUAUUGUUAAGUAAAACAGCGCAUGAAUGGCUUGGCAUUUUUUUUAUGCAUAGAAUUAGUGAGGGCCUUUAUUGCUCCAUUCGGUCUCUAGCGAUGCAGAGCUGAACACUUGAGAUCUGUCAUUAUGUGUACUGGGUAGACAGAAGGAAUCUGAACAGCCUGCAGUCAGUUUGCAAGAACCAUUAAGGUGUGACUAGGUGUCCUGGUAACUAGGGGCUGAGGGCAAAACAGGCUAGAAUAGGGAUUAGUGACUCGGGUUGACCUAGCAAUGCAGUUUGUAAAAUUUUGUGUGUGAUUACUAUAUUAUAGUUUGAUUAUAUAUCUGGAUGAUCUGAAUUUUAAAGCUAUUUGCACUCAAAUCGCAAUUAAUCUUCUGUGUAUGUUUAUAUUAAUAUGAAUUGCCACCCGGAUCCGGUCUACUUCUAGUUUACAUUAGAUAGAUAAUUACAGUAUUGAUUGCCAGAAAAGAAUUGGGGACGGGUAUAACUCCUUUUUUUGACCCUGCACUGCGUUCUUAUUUGCGGUUUUGGGAUAGUGUGAUGGGUAUGAGAAGGAUCCUGCUGCAGAAAUAUAUAUAUUUUGCAAAUUGUGUUGUUGAUGAAAUAUACGCGAAACUGAAUAUUGACUUUAAACAGUGAAACCAGGCUGGCGUUCAUCUGCAAAUUUUGGUAAGUUUUCUAAUAUGAAAAUAAGUUAAGACCAGGGGUAUAAUUUUGCAUCUCAUGUGUCAUAUAUUAAAGUUGUCUUGAAAUUCAUAUACAUUGCUUUAUUUUUUGCAUCUUGUUGUUAGACAUGUUGUAUAUUAUUGUUAAGUAAAACAGCGCAUGAAUGGCUUGGCAUUUUUUUUAUGCAUAGAAUUAGUGAGGGCCUUUAUUGCUCCAUUCGGUCUCUAGCGAUGCAGAGCUGAACACUUGAGAUCUGCCAUUAUGUGUACUGGGUAGACAGAAGGAAUCUGAACAGCCUGCAAUCAGUUUGCAAGAACCAUUAAGGUGUGACUAGGUGUCCUGGUAACUAGGGGCUGAGGGCAAAACAGGCUAGAAUAGGGAUUAGUGACUCGGGUUGACCUAGCAAUGCAGUUUGUAAAAUUUUGUGUGUGAUUACUAUAUUAUAGUUUGAUUAUAUAUCUGGAUGAUCUGAAUUUUAAAGCUAUUUGCACUCAAAUCGCAAUUAAUCUUCUGUGUAUGUUUAUAUUAAUAUGAACUGCCACCCGGAUCCGGUCUACUUCUCGUUUACAUUAGAUAGAUAAUUACAGUAUUGAUUGCCAGAAAAGAAUUGGGGACGGGUAUAACUCCUUUUUUUGACCCUGCACUGCGUUCUUAUCUGCGGUUUUGGGAUAGUGUGAUGGGUAUGAGAAGGAUCCUGCUGCAGAAAUAUAUAUAUUUUGCAAAUUGUGUUGUUGAUGAAAUAUACGCGAAACUGAAUAUUGACUUUAAACAGUUGUUUUCGCAAUCUUUCUCGUUGAUAAUAUACUAGCUUCAUAUACAGUCUGUCCUCAUGUAUGUACAAAAACUGAUCCCUCACAAAAAUUCGGGGAUGCAGUAACAGUCUAUCUAAUAUACAGUUCUGUUGGGAAAGAACUAGUGGUUGAGCACAUUGAGAAUUAAUACUCGUGUCUUGAUCAAUGAUCGGACUAGACAGUCUAAUUGUUCUUCACAUUCUUGCAUAUUCAUGUCCAAUGCCGUCAGACAUUUCUGAACGUCUUGUGUUUGUGUGAUAUCACUUUUUUUGCUUGAUUUCUUGCUGAUAGCUUCUAAAGCCAUAUCCAUGUUGUGAACUUGGUUGAUAAUUUCUUCUGUGUCCUCUUCACAAUGUACACGCUUGGACUGUGUUGACUUGAAAACCUUUGACCAUGUGCUUUUUGUCGAUGCUUCCUUUGCAGGACAGAUGGAUGAGAAGAUAGACUCGAAAACUGAGAUGCUGACUUCUUCGACUUCCCUUAGAAGGCUCACGAUAGCAGGAGUCUCGAUGCUUUUGUUAAUUUUGGACUUCUUAGAACCAGCAAAGCACUUGGAGAGCAUUCUGUUUGCCUUUUUCUUACAUACCAGGUAGCUUGCGAUUCUGCUUGAUACAUCAGUUUGUCUUCUACGUAGAGAGGAUUCUAGAUCUUGAACUGAAUCUCUCAUAUGCGAGAGAGCAUCUUUUGAGGUGCUGCACAGAUCCAAUAACCUAAUGGACCCGCAAAGAAUAUCUUCUCCGCAGCUCAAACGAUCUUGCUGUGCGGCUUGCGAUUGGAUCAAAUCUUCUACACACUCAUAUAAAUCUUGAAGGGCGGAUAAUUUGUCGCAUUUGGAUACUGUCGAUGAGGAUGUCCCUUCCGGGGUCCUUAAUCUGCACAAGUGCUCCUCAACAGUGGCUGUCAAGAGAUGAGAUCUGGAUGGUAAGCUGAUGGAACGAGAAUGAGCACUAACUUUUGUGGUUGCAAUUGAGGCUGCCAUUUUUAUUUGCAGGAGGAAUUAGAUGCCAAUGAAAAUCCUGAACUCAAGGUUUGUUUGAUUGAACUCUCACCUUGGCACCUUUUUAUAAACUAUGAGGAGACAAAAGGAAUCAACCUAAUUUCCUUCAUUUGCUGAACAGAGAAAGAGGCCAAGUAUCAGAAAAUGCAGAUCUCAAUUGUAGCAGUGUCUGUGGGAGGAGGAACAUUUGCUUGGCACAAAAUAAUAUAAUAUGCAAGAAACCAGGCUGGCGUUCAUCUGCAAAUUUUGGUAAGUUUUCUAAUAUGAAAACAAGUUAAGACCAGGGGUAUAAUUUUGCAUCUCAUGUGUUAUAUAUUAAAGUUGUCUUGAAAUUCAUAUACAUUGCAUUAUUUUUUGCAUCUUGUUGUUAGACAUGUUGUAUAUUAUUGUUAAGUAAAACAGCGCAUGAAUGGCUUGGCAUUUUUUUUAUGCAUAGAAUUAGUGAGGGCCUUUAUUGCUCCAUUCGGUCUCUAG
rnacentral:lncRNA from 1 species